rnacentral:lncRNA from 1 species
UGCACUCCAGCCUAGGUGACAGAGUAAGACCCUGCCUCAAAAAAUUAAUUAAUUAAUUAAAUAAAAUAAGAAAUCUAUUCUGGAAAUCAGUCAUCAAACACCACAAUUUUGGGAAUAUAGUUUGGACGACCACUUCCUUUUCUGGAAACCAUUUUUAGAAUAAGAAAAUGAGCCAGAAUACACCUUGCCAAAUAAGUUUCCCCAAAUCACAAUUAUGAUUUGGGGAAUGAACACAAGAAUGAACAAAUUAAGUCAUAAAUGUAUGCAAUCAUUUUUGAAUGUCUUUGCAGAGAAAUAUUCAAAGUGGUAAGAUGGAUUGAACUGCCAACCAAAAUUGUCAAUCUUUAUUUCAGUCUUCACUAUUAAGCUAAAAAGGUAAUUUUUCUCUUGAAUGAUGUGAAGAAUUGAAUUUCUUUCAACUGUUCCAAAAAUCUAUUUGCGGAAAUAUUUUUAUGCUCCAGCAUGUCUUAAGAGUUUAACAUUUUUGGAUGCUGAGUUAUAACAGAUUCCUGCCUGCCACCCUGUGGGGCAGGCAAGAUGAUAUUAUACAUCUCUUAUAAAACAAAGAUACAGACUCAGAAUGGCUAAUAGGAUAUUGCUGAGGCCUGCCAGAUUUGUUGUGGUUAUUCUUGGUCUGCUGCCCAUCUAUAAAAAAUUUAGAAUCCAUCGGUAAAGUUGCACAACAAAUUCUGUUAGGAUUUUGUUGGAAUUACACUGAACCUACAGAUCGGUUUGGGAAUAACUGACAUCUUUACAAUACUGAGUCUUCCCAUCCAAGGAAACAGUAUAUUAUAUUCCAUCUAAUUAUGUCAUUUGGAAUUGUCUUCCAAUAAAUUUUUAUGGCUUUUCUGCA